GUGAGGAAUAUUGCGCAAUGGGGGAAACCCUGACGCAGCGACGCCGCGUGGGUGAUGAAGGCCUUCGGGUCGUAAAGCCCUGUCGGGAGGAAAGAAAUGCGUUCAAGUCAACACCUUGGACGUUUGACGGUACCUCCAAAGGAAGCACCGGCUAACUCUGUGCCAGCAGCCGCGGUAAUACAGAGGGUGCAAGCGUUGUUCGGAAUUACUGGGCGUAAAGGGCGUGCAGGCGGCUUGUCAAGUCAGAUGUGAAAGCCCACGGCUCAACCGUGGAAGCGCAUUUGAAACUGGCAGGCUUGAGUACCAGAGGGGAAAGUGGAAUUCCCGGUGUAGAGGUGAAAUUCGUAGAUAUCGGGAGGAAUACCGGUGGCGAAGGCGACUUUCUGGCUGGAUACUGACGCUGAGACGCGAAAGCGCGGGGAGCAAACAGGAUUAGAUACCCGAGUAGUCC
rnacentral:rRNA from 1 species